AUGAUUUUGAAUGAUGAAGUUUUUUUUUAUAGAUAUUUACUGAAGAGCAGUAUACAUGGUAUUUUGAAUAGAGACAUUGUACUUCACCAGUAUGUACUAGCAGUUGUCACUUACAUACUUAAUGGUCCCUUAAUAAGAUUUUAAGCUGGCUUAAACAAUGCAAGUGUAUGCUGGGUCAAAGGAAUAUGUCGGUUCCUGAUAGGAACUCAUGACCUUAAGAGAAUGUCAACGCCCAGAAACUAUACUUGCAUUUUGUGUUCAAAGAGACCAAAAACCAGAGACAGGCGGAAACUCAUAGGACCCAACAAUAAAUCACUGCGUAAAUGUUUACAACAGAAGUUUUUCAUUGAACAGGACAAAAUUAAUCACACUAACAGUGUUAUAUGUAAUAAAUGCAGAAUACGAUGCUCUCGAGAAAUUGACACAAAUGUAAGAUGCCCCAUACAAACUACAAUAUCUGAAUUAAAUAAUGAUGACACGGAGUACGUCCCUCCAACAAAAUAUGCUAGAUGUCAUCCAUGUAAAUCUCCGCCAAGUAUCGCACUGCCUAUACCAUCAGCUGGAGGUGGCCAUUCGCAGUGUGUUGUGUGUAAACGCCGAGGCCCAAAGCUAGUAGUCGUCCCAACAAACGCUAGAUUUAAUUUAUUUUUGGAUAAACUCAUUGUUCUCACAGUUGGUGCCAGAUGUUGUCCAGGUCACUUGUGCAAUGACAUAUUUUUACCUGAU